UGCAUAUCAAAAAGCGGAGGAAAAGAAACCAACUGGGAUUACCUUAGUAACGGCGAGUGAAGCGGUAAAAGCUCAAAUUUGAAAUCUGGUACUUUCAGUGCCCGAGUUGUAAUUUGUAGAAUUUGUCUUUGAUUAGGUCCUUGUCUAUGUUCCUUGGAACAGGACGUCAUAGAGGGUGAGAAUCCCGUUUGGCGAGGAUACCUUUUCUCUGUAAGACUUUUUCGAAGAGUCGAGUUGUUUGGGAAUGCAGCUCAAAGUGGGUGGUAAAUUCCAUCUAAAGCUAAAUAUUGGCGAGAGACCGAUAGCGAACAAGUACAGUGAUGGAAAGAUGAAAAGAACUUUGAAAAGAGAGUGAAAAAGUACGUGAAAUUGUUGAAAGGGAAGGGCAUUUGAUCAGACAUGGUGUUUUUUGCAUGCACUCGCCUCUCGUGGGCUUGGGCCUCUCAAAAAUUUCACUGGGCCAACAUCAAUUCUGGCAGUAGGAUAAAUCAUUAAGAAUGUAGCUACCUCGGUAGUGUUAUAGCUUAUUGGAAUACUGCUAGCUGGGAUUGAGGACUGCGCUUCGGCAAGGAUGUUGGCAUAAUGGUUAAAUGCCGCCCGUCUUGAAACACGGACCA
rnacentral:rRNA from 1 species